rnacentral:rRNA from 1 species
UACGGGGGGGGCAAGCGUUGUUCGGAAUUACUGGGCGUAAAGGGCUCGUAGGUGGCCAACUAAGUCAGACGUGAAAUCCCUCGGCUUAACCGGGGAACUGCGUCUGAUACUGGAUGGCUUGAAUCCGGGAGAGGGAUGCGGAAUUCCAGGUGUAGCGGUGAAAUGCGCAGAUAUCAGGAGGAACACCGGUGGCGAAGGCGGGUCUCUGGGCCGAAACUGACGCUGAGGAGCGAAAGCGUGGGGAGCAAACAGG